UACGGGGGGAGCAAGCGUUGUUCGGAUUUACUGGGCGUAAAGGGCGCGUAGGUGGCCCGGUCAGUCCGUGGUGAAAGCGCGGGGCUCAACCCCGCGUCGGCCAUGGAUACUGCUGGGCUGGAGCACUGUAGAGGCAGGCGGAAUUCCGGGUGUAGCGGUGGAAUGCGUAGAGAUCCGGAAGAACACCGGUGGCGAAGGCGGCCUGCUGGGCAGUUGCUGACACUGAGGCGCGACAGCGUGGGGAGCAAACGGG
rnacentral:rRNA from 1 species